AACGGGUGAGUAACACGUGGGCAACCUGCCUGACAGACUGGGAUAACUUGGGGAAACUCAAGCUAAUACCGGAUAGGAUCGCAAGCUGCAUGGUUUGCGAUGGAAAGUCUGAACGACACUGUCAGAUGGGCCCGCGGCGCAUUAGCUAGUUGGUGGGGUAAUGGCCUACCAAGGCGACAAUGCGUAGCCAACCUGAGAGGGUGACCGGCCACACUGGGACUGAGACACGGCCCAAACUCCUACGGGAGGCAGCAGUAGGGAAUCUUCCACAAUGGGCGAAAGCCUGAUGGAGCAACGCCGCGUGAGUGAUGAAGGUUUUCGGAUCGUAAAACUCUGUUGUUAGGGAAGAACACCCGGGAGAGGAUCCCGGUUUGACGGUACCUGACGAGAAAGCCCCGGCUAACUACGUGCCAGCAGCCGCGGUAAUACGUAGGGGGCAAGCGUUGUCCGGAAUUAUUGGGCGUAAAGCGCGCGCAGGCGGCUUACUAAGUCUGGUGUGAAAGCCCACGGCUCAACCGUGGAGGGCCAUUGGAAACUGGUAAGCUUGAGUGCAGGAAAGGAGAGCGGAAUUCCCGGUGUAGCGGUGAAAUGCGUAGAUAUCGGGAGGAACACCCGUGGCGAAGGCGGCUCUCUGGCCUGUAACUGACGCUAAG
rnacentral:rRNA from 1 species